GACAGAGGUGCCAAGCGUUAGGCGGAAUCACUGGGCUUAAAGCGUGUGUAGGCGGAUGUCUAAGUACCUUGUGAAAUCCCACGGCUCAACCGUGGAACUGCUUGGUAUACUGGAUGUCUUGAGCCGUCUAGGGGCUACCGGAACAAAUGGUGGAGCGGUGAAAUGCGUAGAUAUCAGGAGGAACACCGGUGGCGAAGGCGGUUCUCUGGGCAUUACCUGACGCUGAGGAGCGAAAGUGUGGGGAGCGAACAGG
rnacentral:rRNA from 1 species